rnacentral:lncRNA from 1 species
UUGGUGAAUGGAAAUGUUUUAUGAUGUGCAGGUCAUUCUGGCAGUUUUAUUUGACAUCCCAACCUUAUUUUCACGGUUCAUUGCUCAAUGUUUAAGUUUUUUGUGACUGUUUUCCCUAAAUUAAAAGCAAGAAGUAAACUAUAUUUGAUAAAUGAAAUGAUUGUAAGAUGUAUGUCUGUCUGGUACAUAUCAUCAGACCUUGUU